rnacentral:rRNA from 1 species
AUUGAACGCUGGCGGCAUGCUUUACACAUGCAAGUCGAACGGUAACAGGCCUUCGGGUGCUGACGAGUGGCGAACGGGUGAGUGAUGCAUCGGAACGUACCCAGAGGUGGGGGAUAACGCAGCGAAAGCUGUGCUAAUACCGCAUGUGAUCUGAGGAUGAAAGCGGGGGACCGAGCAGCAAUGUUUGGCCUCGCGCCUUUGGAGCGGCCGAUGUCGGAUUAGCUAGUUGGUGGGGUAAAGGCCUACCAAGGCGACGAUCCGUAGCUGGUCUGAGAGGACGACCAGCCACACUGGGACUGAGACACGGCCCAGACUCCUACGGGAGGCAGCAAUGGGGAAUUUUGGACAAUGGGCGCAAGCCUGAUCCAGCAAUGCCGCGUGCGGGAAGAAGGCCUUCGGGUUGUAAACCGCUUUUGGCAGGAACGAAACGGUGUCCGCUAAUACCGGGCGCUAAUGACGGUACCUGCAGAAUAAGCACCGGCUAACUACGUG